rnacentral:rRNA from 1 species
GAUGAACGCUGGCGGCGUGCCUAAUACAUGCAAGUCGAGCGAACGGACGAGAAGCUUGCUUCUCUGAUGUUAGCGGCGGACGGGUGAGUAACACGUGGAUAACCUACCUAUAGGACUGGGAUAACUUCGGGAAACCGGAGCUAAUACCGGAUGAUAUUUUGAACCGCAUGGUUCAAAAGUGAAAGACGGUCUUGCUGUCACUUAUAGAUGGAUCCGCGCUGCAUUAGCCAGUUGGUAAGGUAACGGCUUACCAAGGCAACGAUGCAUAGCCGACCUGAGAGGGUGAUCGGCCACACUGGAACUGAGACACGGUCCAGACUCCUACGGGAGGCAGCAGUAGGGAAUCUUCCGCAAUGGGCGAAAGCCUGACGGAGCAACGCCGCGUGAGUGAUGAAGGUCUUCGGAUCGUAAAACUCUGUUAUUAGGGAAGAACAUAUGUGUAAGUAACUGUGCACAUCUUGACGGUACCUAAUCAGAAAGCCACGGCUAACUACGUG